UAUUGAUCUGAUUGUUAAGGCUACAGCCUGUUGCUGACUUUUGUCAACGACGCACCGACAAAUGAUUUAUGUCAUUUGACAGGAUUGGUACCUCCUUUUUUCUUUACCUUGCUAUAUUUGACAUGGACUCUUAACAUCUAUUCCCUCCGUUCUUAAAUAUAAGUAUUUUUGGAGACUUCACUGGGUGACUACAUACGGAGCAAAAUGAGUGAGUACACUUUAAAAUAUGUCUAUAUACAUCCAUAUGUAGUUUUUUAGUGGAACAUCUAAAAAGACUUAUAUUUAGGAACUUAGGUAGUAAUUGUCCUGAUCCCUUCUUUAUUGCUGAUGAUGGCAACAUCGUGGCAUUGAGUUGCAUUUGUUUCAUAGGACCAAACUGUUCAGCAGAAUGCCUAAUGCUAUUUGUUUUUCAAUGAUGUGAAAUCUGACAUUGAGUCGUCGACCGUAGUCGCUGUUUCACACGGCUUUGCUGCUUGUCUUUCUCACUUUAGCACGGUCACAUACAUAAAUCCUGCACAGGGAGUACUCAGGCUGGCUGACAAAAACAACGCCUCUGGAGUGAUCUGAUUCAUCAAACUGGCAGCCUCCCUCAGCAAACAGGGAACUCCUGCAUCCGUUCAGUUCAUGUCCAGAGACCAAGGCCUCCAAAUUCAGCCGGCACAGCCUCUGUUGAAUUGCUAAUAGGACCAUUCCUGUAUGUAUUCUGCAAUUCACUGUUCUUGAAUUAUCUCAGUAAUGGACUGAGUCAAUGCCAACAGGAAGAAUGACGAGGUGGAAUCCAGGGCACGGCUGGAAAAUCUCGUGUCCCUUCUGUCCGGCCGUCCAUCCUUGUCAGAUGGUAAAUAAGAGGUCUAUGUGCUUGAACUUGAGGUGUUUAUUUACAUGUCUAAAUCAUAGAGUGCUCAACUGUAUCUUUUAAUUAACAUGUCCAAAUCAAAGCCUUGACCCAUUCUUGUCUGGAUUGCACUCAGGCUGUUAUGAUUCUUUUCAGGAAAUUAUGUACAGCUGAUUACUUGGAUUGGUCGCCAUUUCAGAGAUGAUAAGCGGGAGGGUUAGACAAUUAUGGGUUUCAAUACCUCAGGAGAGUGGCCAUUGUCACUGCCAUCUCCCUUAUAUUCUACUAUACAGACAAAAUAUUUCUUGAACCGCAAUUUUCUUAUGACAGUUUUGCCUAUAAUGUGGCUGUCCUCCCGUUACAUCCUCGGUUAGAAAUGGGGUCUAUCACCCGAGACCCUUCUUGAACAUGACAACGACGCUCCAUGAAGCCUGGCUACUGCAAUGUUGUCAUGUUCACCGCAUAUCAUCACACACUUCGUCCAGAGUUAAUUGCACAAAACCACCAUAUUGUCGCAUAGGGUUGCAGAAAACACUUUGAUACAUAUUCGUUGCAAAAAACACAGGAAGUGUGUCUAUUUUUUUUCCCAAAAAGCACUGAUCCGUCUGUUGGAGCAUUUUAAGCACGAUUAUGACAUGUA
rnacentral:lncRNA from 1 species